rnacentral:tRNA from 1 species
GGGCUCGUGGCGAAGAGGUAUCGCGCUCCAUUGGCUAUGGAGAGGCCGCGGGUUCGAUUCCCGCCGAGUCCA